GAUGAACGCUGGCGGCGUGCCUAAUACAUGCAAGUCGAGCGAACAGACGAGGAGCUUGCUCCUCUGACGUUAGCGGCGGACGGGUGAGUAACACGUGGAUAACCUACCUAUAAGACUGGGAUAACUUCGGGAAACCGGAGCUAAUACCGGAUAAUAUAUUGAACCGCAUGGUUCAAUAGUGAAAGACGGUUUUGCUGUCACUUAUAGAUGGAUCCGCGCCGCAUUAGCUAGUUGGUAAGGUAACGGCUUACCAAGGCAACGAUGCGUAGCCGACCUGAGAGGGUGAUCGGCCACACUGGAACUGAGACACGGUCCAGACUCCUACGGGAGGCAGCAGUAGGGAAUCUUCCGCAAUGGGCGAAAGCUUGACGGGGCAACGCCGCGUGAGUGAUGAAGGUCUUCGGAUCGUAAAACUCUGUUAUUAGGGAAGAACAAAUGUGUAAGUAACUAUGCACGUCUUGACGGUACCUAAUCAGAAAGCCACGGCUAACUACGU
rnacentral:rRNA from 1 species